rnacentral:lncRNA from 1 species
AUGCCCAGUUUCCCCUCCUUUUCCUGUUUUUGUGUACAUUUUCUCUUUGCUUCCUGUCACACUUCAGUGCUCCCUGUGCUUGAGAACAAAACUCUUGACAAAUGUCACUGGCAGUUUACUACCAUGAGCAUUAGACAGCUGAGGUUACACAUCAACCUCUGUUUGCAUGCCAUAAACACCUCCAAGAUGAGCAGCAGCACUUUCAGGGACAAAAUGUUAAAACCAAAGACUUUUCAGUGUCAGUGGCACCACCCAGCCCUAUGGUCACCUAGGGGUGGCUCCAAGCCUGGUCCUGACCACAGCACCCAUGGAGGUUUUCCAGUGGAAUUCAAGAGUGAGGAGAUCCAGAAGCACCAGAUCCUAGAACGACAAGCAAAUUUUCUGUCAGCUGUCAGGCAAGUAAGUUCCCUCAAAGGAUGAAAGUCAGAAUACAUAACAUCUUCUAAUGGCUUGUUCUGGAGUAAAAUCACCUUCAUGUGGGACCACAAGAGCAGAGAAGUGUCACUGGCCACUUAUAAAACAGAAAGCUUCAUUUGGAGGUAAGGAUGCAAGCAAUAGCCCAUAUGGAGGUGAGUACAGGAGGAUGGGAGAGAUGACAGCAGUUUCACACAGAGUAAUGGAAAAACUUAGACUGGUGUCCAUCUUUUAAAGGAAAAUGUUUCUCACUUUUAAGGAAAAUGUUCACUAUGGAGAGUCUCAGCUCUGUACUGAGAAUUAGUCCCCCUCCUCAGCUAAAUUAAAUGCUGGAACCUCACACAGCCAUUCCAAUAGUGUCACUCAAGAUGCAUCCUAGGGUCCCAUUUCUAAAAAUGCUACACAGAAAACACAUAAUAAUACGAUCAGUACAUAAAAAUAAUGCAAAAAUCAUCAACACAUCAAUACUGAUGACCUCCAUAUCAAUUUACUACUAAUAUACCAAAUAUUAUUAUACCAAAAAUAAAACACCAAAAAAUGUAAUUGUUUUCA